rnacentral:rRNA from 1 species
GAGUUUGAUUCUGGCUCAGAACGAACGCUGGCGGUGCGUUUUAAGCAUGCAAGUCGAACGGUAAAAAGAGAGCUUGCUCUCUUUGAGAGUGGCGGACUGGUGAGUAACGCGUGGAUGAUCUACCUUUGAGAUGGGGAUAGCUUCUAGAAAUAGGAGAUAAUACCGAAUAACCUUGUUGUGUUUUGAUGUAACAAGAAAAGGAGCGUCAGCUCCGCUCGAAGAUGAGUCUGCGUCCCAUUAGCUAGUUGGUAGGGUAAAGGCUUACCAAGGCGACGAUGGGUAUCCGGCCUGAGAGGGUGAACGGACACAUUGGGACUGAGAUACGGCCCAAACUCCUACGGGAGGCAGCAGCUGAGAAUCUUCCGCAAUGGACGAGAGUCUGACGGAGCGACACCGCGUGAACGAUGAAGGCCGGAAGGUUGUAAAGUUCUUUUGCAGACAAAGAAUAAGGAUAGAAGGAAAUGACUAUCUGAUGA